GUCCUUGUUCAUCAGAAUCCGGAGGGGGUAGUGCACAGCUCAGAAAGUCCUUUAAUGAGGGGCUGCUUGUUUUAUGACAUCUUGCACCCUCAGCAUCAGUAGCUGUAAGGACCAAAAGUCUCUCUUGCUGUUGCUUCACAGAGAAUCAGUAAGCAUGACUUUCAAGGAAGUGCUAACACAUCCGUUCAAAACCUGAACUGAUCCUUGUAAGGAGGAAGUAAUUCUUCAGCCUGCUGAGCGAGACGUUUCAGCUGGCCCCAAGUUGGCACCAUGCUGGAGGUAGUUACUUGAAUACGACGACAGUGAUGAGAUGGAGCAGAAUAUGGUUGGACUCUAUCAGCAUGUCUUUCCUGAAAGUGCCAGGUCCAGACUCAACGAGCUUCUGAUGUCCCCAUCUUCCCUCGGUCCCAGACUCCAGGGCCCCAGGAAUCUCAGUGACCUCAGGGGUCUUCGUGAUCUUGGAGAUCUCAUGGGACUGGACAUGUCAAACCAGUAUGUCAGGAAUCCAAACAGAAGAAGUGGAAUCCUGUGGAAACACGCAAGCAUACCCUCUCCUGCAAGUUAACAGCACAUCUGGCCCUUUCCACUCUCCGAUGGUGAUUGCAGCCAUGAAAUUAAAAGAAGCUCACCCCUUGGAAGGAAAGUUAUAACCAAUCUAGAUAGCAUAUUGAAAAGCAGAGAUGUUACUUUGCCAACAAAGGUCCGUCUAGUCAAACCUAUGGUUUUUCCAGUAGUCAUGUAUGGAUGUGAGAAUUGGACUGUGAAAAAAGCUGAGCACCAAAGAAUUGUUGUUUUUGAACUGUGGUGUUGGAGAAGACUCUUGAGGGUCCCUUGGACUGCAAGGAGAUCCAACCAGUCCAUUCUAAAGAAGAUCAGUCCUGGGUGUUCUUUGGAAGGAAUGAUGCUAAAGCUGAAACUCCAAUACUUUGGCCACCUCAUGCAAAAAGUUGACUCACUGGAAAAGAC
ensembl:lncRNA